rnacentral:misc_RNA from 1 species
GUCAGAUCCAAAAGUAAUCUCCAAUUUAAUGGAAUAUUUUUGGUGAUGGGUAUAAUUUGGCACCAUUUCAUAUUGUGACCCAUGGUUUUUACCUUAUGAUAUUUUGAUUUUGAUCUUGGUAAAAUUUGAAAAUUUGUAUAAAUAGUUGCUAAGGUGAUUUGUUGAUUGAUUUUACACAUCAAAUGAUGAGUGAGUAUUGUUAUUGUUAGUUACUGUUUUGACUCAUUUUUAUGGGAAGAUAUCUGAUAUGCCUCUUUCACAGUGUUAAUUCUAGUUCAUUACUGUUUGAUUUUACACAUCCAAUGGUCAGUGAAUAUUAUUAAUUUUUAGCUAAUAUUUUGGUUCCGUUUGAAUCGAAAUAUCUGUUUGCUUUUAAGCAUUCAGCUUUCCUAGGGACUCAAUGGCCUAGUUAGUUUGCAAAUUGAGGUUUCGGAUAGUAUUCAGAUCCAUGUUUCAAUGUCCUUGGUUCAACUUUAUAGGAAUAGGAUGUCAUGGUUCAUUCAGUUAAUGAAUUUGCGUGUUUAGGACUUCUGCAAGAUGUAUAGUCCAGUUUAAAAUCCCUGAUGUAUUGCUAUGAG